GGCCCAAUGGUCUAGUAGUAUGAUUCUCGCUUUGGGUAUUGGGAACAUUCCCUCUGUUGCGAGAGGUCCUGGGUUCAAUUCCCAGUUGGGCCC